AGAGCUGAUACGUGGGUGUUGGAUUGUGUCAUUCGUAGGAGGUGAACGUCAAAGGAAGUGGGAUCAACUGCUGGAGGAGGUUUGUAAGCCAGUCACUUCAUUCUCUCUCUAACCAGCUCCUGCUGGAGAGAAGACAAUGGGAAAAAAAGAAAAGAAACACAAAUCACUGUGUCAUCAAGUUAGAAUUGCACACAAUGUUUUUGGUGACAUCCCUCGGAGCUAGAUCUCUGUCACAACAAGGAACCCCAAACCCUGGUCCUCAGUUAGCAUAGUGGGGAGAAAGCAGGGCUCACCAAGCUUUCUUGAGCCUAAUCAACUUAUCUAUGCAUUGUAAGGGAGACACUUAGCAGCAACCUUUGGGCAUUCAGCUUCUUCCUUAUUCCUCACCACUCUGUAGGAUCUGCCAUCUGAUCUUCCCUUUAACAGUACAUGUGAAGGGUCAGUAACACCCUUGAAACAUCCUUUCAUGUAAAAUUAAACGUGUCCUGCUUUCAGAGGGUUGCAAAAUUCCACACAUUGUAAUGAACUGCGAUACUAAUUUAUUGUAAAGUAUCUUUCGUGUAUGUUAACUUAAUGAGCUAGGUCUUGCCAAUGCUAAAAAUAAGUCUCAUUGUAGAAAAGGCUUAUGGAAUGAGCAAAAUUGCUCAUUCCCACAAAAAUGUCAUCUGUUGUCAAAACCAUUUAAUCAUGUAACAUCUCUUAGCUCUCUGCUUCUUGUGAAGUAACACCAGACCCACUUACCCCUGCUCCUGCAGGUAGUGGGUCUACUGAGCAAAUUUAAUGCCUUGUACAGUGAGGAUGCUGAUGUAAGACUUCUGAAAACAGGCACAAAGAUGUAUUGAUUUUUUAAAAUCAACUUGAGGUAAAUACCUGGCAUGGAAAGCUUUAAUCCAAAUGAUUAAAGUUUAGGAAGACCAAAGCAUGUCAAAACAGGGUUUCAUUACAGGAAAUGUUAGGUAAGAGAUGAAGCUCUCAGCCCUUCUAGUAAUCGUUACCUUAAAAUGGAUCAGCACCUUAAGAAGUUCAUAUAUUGUUCUGUCUUUGAAAAGCUGGCAGAUAGUGAACCUUGCAGUUGUCUAUGUAUUUACUCAAAGGUCACCAUGUCUUUUCUGCUUUGUUUCUUAGCAAACCCCUUGGAAGAGGUUCUGCAUGUAUUUUAGUUCCAUUCAAUACCUGUAUGUGACCUUUCUCACUGAUGUCAAACUUGCACAGAGGAAAGCAAGCUGCAGGCUUUGCUUUUGUCUGUUUGUUGCUAAAUCCCAGGUCUCAUGUCUCUUUUGGCCACCAGUUGCUUUCUGACAGUUCACAAGGCAAGUCUUUGUUCCAGUUCAUCCAGCUACCACUGGUGCUCUCUGAGGCACCACCACCUAGGUCAUAUAGUAGGAAAAGACAAAAUUUACUGCUGUACCUCAAGAAAGGAGCUAGAAGAAGAAAAUGGUGGGACUCCUUGCUCUGGAUCCAGUGGAGGUGGCCAUGGGACUGGUCAUGGCUGUCAUAGCCAGUGAUGCUGUGAUGCAUCCAGCUGAUGCUCCCAGCUGUCUCAGCAGGGUUUACUUUGAUGCAAGGAUGUGAGGUGAGCAGUUGUCUUUGUGGAUUAGAGGAAGAAAAGUUGUGGUUUAUUUGUGUGUCAGUAGCACCAGGAUAUCCCAAGCGUGGGUCAGAACUGUUGUGCUGGAUCCUGUUGACAACUGCAGUUUUAAGAGAUCAGAGUAUGCUGUGUGGAUUCAGCAGGUAUAGGCAGUGGGGAUCCGUUUGAUGAACAGAUACAGACUUCAGCAGAAAUAAAUAAAAUUCCCUUUUCCCAAGAAGAGUGACUUGUAGGCAUUGUGGCAGGACUGCCUUAAAAGACAGCAAGAUGCUCGCUUUAUACCUUUGAACAGAUGUUUUGCCAUGGGAAGAGCACUCUCUGAAAUGCAAAGUGUGUGUUUCUUGGUUAUUGUGCAGUGGAUUUUCCCUGUGCUGGCUUGUCACCAUGGCGCUGGACUAGGAAAGCUGCAGAUCAAAAGCUUUAUGGAGCUGUACAGAUGAAUUGUUUCUGCUUUCAUCGUCCAUUUGAAAAACAAAAUCUAAAUGGAAGAUGAGAAUCUGCCCACUUUAGGUUCCUAUGCAAGUAACUGUAGGACCAGGCAGCAGCAAGGUAUUUUCUCAAGGACGAGUAGAUGGUUGGGCCUCUUCGGGAAAUCUGCAGCAAACAGCUCAUUCAAAAAUAACUUUCUGAGGCUAUGGGAAGUGGGUGAAAAGAAAUAGCUAAUGAGAAGGAGAAAACACUGAUGAAAGGAAGUGUUUUAUCUGAUAUCAGAAACUGUUGGCUUUCAUUCUGAUCCUGUUGUCUUUUCUGUAUAUAGCUUUUAGAGUGCCCUUAAAUCUCCUCAAAAGGUUAUUACUUUUCCAGUGGCAUUAGAAAGGCUGAAAUGAUAUUUGCAACUGAGGGUAAGUGACUCUCUUGAGGUUUUGGCACCCACAGCCCCAGUUUAACUGGAAAUGUAGACAAUUAGUAAAUCUGAAAAUCAGUGCCUCUUGGCCCUGCAUGGUCCAGAGAAGCCAACCUAACUUUUGUGAGUAGUAGGACCAGAGCAGGAUCACAGUAUAUGCUGUACAAGGGACAUAUACCUGGAAAAAUUAAGGCCCCAGAAUGAAUGACAGCUUAUGAGGUGGUGGCCUCUGGUCUUUUUGUCCAGACCUUCUCAUCCGUGAAAGUCAUGGAAGCUCUGCCAUUGGUUGCAUUGAUGUGAAUAGCAAGACUUCCCUUUCUGGUAUUGGUUUUGGCUCACCAGAGGUGUAAUUCUUACAAAAUUCUGUAAUUUAAAAUCACCUCAGGUUUCCAGUUCCCAAAGUAAAAGAGCUCCAUUCAAGGUCUGGAGUAGAUUAAAGCACUGACUGCUAAUCCAGAACUUGUUCUUGAGAUGCUCCACCAGUAGGGAGAUGGUUUCAGCCAUGAUGAGGUAAAAGGCCAGGGUGGACCUGGCAAUCAAAAACUGCUGCAGGAGACAAAAGGGUAAUACCAAUGAGGUAUGUGUAUAUUCAUACUCCCAUAUACACAGCUAUAUCUCAACUGUGCAGAAAUGUUCUGUUCCUCGCCAGCAGUUACUAACUCACUGUUUUCCUUCCAGAAAGAAAAUCCUUGACAGACUUGAAGUGAUGACUCCACUUUCUUCCAUUCCAGCUGCCACACAGACAUGUACAUUGGUCCCUCAUUGGACCAGCAAAUUUGAAUGUCUUCUUGUUCCAUGUCUGCCCUAUCACUUAUCAGUUACUUGUUGUUGUGGUAUGGCAGGGUCAUCUUCUCUCAGCAGACACUGUAAUUGUUUUUACAAGGAGAAAGAAAAUACUCUGCUGAUAAGCAGUGGUACAUGUCUAGGGAAAAUGUCAGCACUUAAACCUGAGUCUUGCUUUUCCCUCUGAGUUGUCAUUGCUGGAUCCUCUGCCCUUCCUUACAAGUGGGUUUGAGGAGGUGGUUGUUUUGGCUGGAAUUGGAGAGGCACAGGUGGUACCACCAGCUGUAAAUUGGAGGAGGCACUUCCUGAUUAUGACCACUGCCUACACGCAGAUCAUUGCCAAGAGAGGAGCUGGAAGGCGCAGAAGCCUUCUCCUUACUUGGAAAAAGGGCCUGGAGGAUAAUCAUCACUCCCCUCUCCCACAGGCGUUCACCUGUAGCCUUCAGGCUUCUUUGCAAGCACUGGGCUUCCCAAAAUGCUGUGAUGUGAAUAACCCUCAGCCGUCAUUGAGACAUGGACAAACUGAGGCACUGACUAUUUAAAUUCCUGCAUCUAACGUUUAGGCACUUGAGGCUGUAUAAGGGUACUGGGAGCUCAGGAGAUGCAAGUACAUGGUGCAUGUGCAAGCGAGCUUAUUUUUUUUAAGGGACCUCAGCAUGGAUUCAGAUGUCUGCUUAACCAUGGCAAAAUGAGCAGUGAAUAACUCUUUGAUCUCUGCAAGGUCGAGAUUUUGCCCUCCAGCUUUAAAUGUCAGUGGUGAGAGGCUUGUACCAAGCUGCAGAGCAAGUAUGCACCAGGCUGUCCUGUGAGGAGUUUGGCGUGUUGUGCUUGGGGGGUGUUUUCGGAGGGCGCUGCUGGCUACCUGCAUAGGCAGGACCGUCCUGGUCUCAACUGCGAGCACGUACCACCAUUUGCAGUUAUGUAUCUUUAUAGCCACAUUACAAUUUCUUAAUUAUUGCCAGGUGCCCAUGUCUCCACCUUCACAUAAUGGAGACCUCUGUUGCUGGCCCUAACUUGUCUUGUCUUCAGGAAAUUUGGGGUGCCUUGUCUCCUCAUCUGCUGAAAGCCCUUUCCCUGGUAUGAUCCCUUGGCCCACUGCUGCCUUGUGAUCUUGAUUUUCAUCUUCUGUCCUAAAUGUGGGUCCACUGGCACAGCAAGCGAGGAAGAGGCGUCAGAAGAUUAACCCACCACCUCGUGCUCCUCGCCCACGCAUGCGAGGAGAGAGACAGAUUAAAAGAUUAAAGUUACAAACUGAAAACCCCCUCGGGCCACUGAUGAGAUCCGAGCGCCUGGCUGGGAAGCCAAACUCCCACUCCGGAGAUGAAGCUCUUUGUCAGACGCAGGCUGAACCUGUGAAGAUGUUCAUUUCCUCCAGGGUUCCAUGUUUCAUCACUUUUCCCAGCUAUCACGUUUUUCCCAGCUCUUCCCAAGUGCUUAGGUGACACCGGAGUGGAGUGAGUACCAGCACCUUCUCGUCCUUGCAUGCAAUAGUGUGGUGGUGUACGUGGUGGCCAGUUUGACUAUAAACUGCCCGUCGGCUGUAGAAGCACGCACUGCUGGGGUCUGUGCCUCACAGGAGCACGGCAGCAGGACCUGCACUUCCCAAGGGAUUGAAAGAGGCAUGGCCCAAACACCACACAGGUGCAACUCUAAAAUGGAAUAUUUUCCAGAUAGAACAUCAGAGAGUCAGACUGUACCAGCGAGGUCUGUGCGCUGAGCAGGGAAGGAAGAAGCCGCUUCUGCAGAGAUGCUCCCUGCUCCGUAGAGGGUAGGCAUGCACAGGUCCAGAUGUGCAGGAUCUCUGCCCCAGUCCCAGCACAGGGGUUUGCCAUGGGUGGACUUCAGAGGAGUCCUGGGAGCUUCUUGCAGAAGGGUUUUGCAUUGAGCAUCCCCAGGGAAAAUUUGACUUCCCAUCUUGAUGGGUCCCAUCCCUGCUCCUUUUCUCCAUGGGAGUGGCUGCAUUUCUGUUGCACAGGAUGCAUGGUAUAUAAAGCAUUUAGGACGAAAAGUCUAUAGAAGUGUGAUACUAAUAAUAUUUUACAGCUUUAAUUACCAUGAUUGUAGUGCCUAGAGGCAUAUGCAAAAACAUUUUGAGUGGGAGGAGAGAAGGCAGCGCUGUGAACAUUUUUGUGGUUUUGCUGGGCAAUGUGCAAUUGAGUUUUCUCAUGGGAACCACAGCAUGCCAGGGAGAAAAGCUGCCUCUACCUCCUUGUCUGCUCCAUCGGGAUACUGGAUCACACCCCAAAGCCGAGGAGACAACCACAGUCACUCCAGUUUCAGGCAGCAGCUGGGCUGAUCGUGCCUCUGCUUUGCGGAGGGGUUCCAGGUGCGGGUGCUGCCCGUUUCUGCAGGCAACAGGUAUUUUUCCUCGGGCAACGUCCCUUCCCUACAGUCAGCAGCAGUUUUGCCUGCGGGGUGAUUUCAGGAUUGGGCAACUGCCGAUUUGUGGCGUGGAUUUGCCAGCAGCCUCAAGAGCAGCGGUGCCUGCUUCUCGGUCAGGGUACGCAAGGCUGAGGGAGCCCUGGCUCCCACCGGCCGGCCGCCCGUGCCACGCAUGGGCAGGGGAGAGGCAAGGGGAUGCACAGAGGGGCCUGGUGUGGCUGGGCGAGCCCCCCAGAGCCCUUCCCCGCGGGAGGCUGCACGGCACUGCCACCAGGCCUAACCCAAAGCCACAAGCUCGAUGCUCACGACUAACUAAAAAAUUGGAAAACACCCUACACGGGAAGGCAAGUUUUUAGAGUUUAUGUGUUACAAAAUAAAGACUAUACAGAAAAAAGAUGGUUGCAUUUCCCUAGCUACGGCAUGCAGUCCUGCAUCUAUAGAAAAAUAUUUAAAAAAAACUUGUGCCUAGAUUGCAUAUUAAUUUUUAGAUGUAUUUCUGUAGUUUCUGUGAUGGUGAUUUGCUGUAGGUUCAUUAUUAAGAUGGUACAAAGGUGGUAUUUUAAUUCUGUUUGAAAAGCAGAAAGAAAUUCUAUUUUAUCUGGACAUGGUUACCAAAGAGUCAGCUGGCGACUGAGCUUCCUGGCUGGCCGGUCCCUGCUCAGAGGAACAGCCACAAGUUGCAACGCCGCCUUCCGAUAGCCAGGCUGUUGAUUGGAAGGCUACAAAACCUGAAGAGAAACCCUGUGUGAUAGGUGUUCCCAGCUGUGGGAAGAGUCAGACGUUGCUUACAAGACAAGCAUAUUUUAUUGAGGCUUUUUUUCCUCACUCUCUAAUCCCCCUCCUUAAUCCUUUUUCUAUUGCUUGCACUAAGUAUGAUUUACAUUAUUAAAAACUCAUAUUUGAAUCUAGUCUCCAUCUGUUAAAUACAUGGUAUCAUCUGUCCUCACUCGAUUUGAGAUUUGGUAUUUUGUAUGGAUUUUUGUAUGUCUGUAUUGUGUACAGAUUAAAAAACCUAAAAUAAGAAAUUCUAAUGAAAACACACCAUCUUUAAAAAACUUUUAAAAAACCUUAAAAAAGGGACCAAGUUUUGACCCUCGCCUCACCAAGACUAGUGGAAGGAGCAAGAAUUCAAUUUCCCAUGGUCACAUUACAGUUUGUGCAUCAGGUUUUUACGAAGAAAAAUCUACCACUGGGUAAUCAAACGGCUAAUGGAGCGGAGCUCAUGAAGCUGCAGAUAGAGAUCCUCGACGUCACCGCCUGAAGCCACCCGAGGUGUCACCAUUAGCUGGUAUCACCGCUGCACCCCAGCAAAAAGGCAGCUUAGUGAAGUCCGGCUUCAGGUGGGCAAAAAAGGCAGAUGGACUUUGCUCCUGCUUGCCAUUUUGAGUUGUGCCACCUGCCACGCUGCCCCAACGCACCCCCAGGCUGCGAUGUGCUAUCUCAUCACCUCACUGCCCCGUCCCUCGCCAGGUGUGCGGGUGUCCUGCCUUCAGGUGGGCACUUCCCAAAGGGCGGGCGCGGGGCGGCGGUGGGUGCUCCCGGCCACGGGGCGCCUCAAGACCCGCAGGUGGCAACACCAGAGCGUGGCCGCGGAGCCUCCCUUCCCCACCGUGCCUCGCGUGGGUAACCACCAGACUGGUUGGCUGGUGCGU